UGGGGAAUAUUGCACAAUGGGGGAAACCCUGAUGCAGCGACGCCGCGUGAGUGAAGAAGUAUCUCGGUACGUAAAGCUCUAUCAGCAGGGAAGAAAAUGACGGUACCUGACUAAGAAGCCCCGGCUAACUACGUGCCAGCAGCCGCGGUAAUACGUAGGGGGCAAGCGUUAUCCGGAUUUACUGGGUGUAAAGGGAGCGUAGACGGCAGCACAAGUCUGGAGUGAAAUCCCGGGGCUUAACCCCGGAACUGCUUUGGAAACUGUGCGGCUGGAGUGCAGGAGGGGUAAGCGGAAUUCCUAGUGUAGCGGUGAAAUGCGUAGAUAUUAGGAGGAACACCAGUGGCGAAGGCGGCUUACUGGACUGUAACUGACGUUGAGGCUCGAAAGCGUGGGGAGCAAACAGG
rnacentral:rRNA from 1 species